AGCUUAGUGGCGGACGGGUGAGUAACGCGUGAGCAACCUGCCUCUCAGAGGGGGAUAACGUUUUGAAAAGAACGCUAAUACCGCAUAACAUAUCGGAACCGCAUGAUUCUGAUAUCAAAGGAGCAAUCCGCUGAGAGAUGGGCUCGCGUCCGAUUAGUUAGUUGGUGAGGUAACGGCUCACCAAGACUACGAUCGGUAGCCGGACUGAGAGGUUGAUCGGCCACAUUGGGACUGAGACACGGCCCAGACUCCUACGGGAGGCAGCAGUGGGGGAUAUUGCGCAAUGGGGGAAACCCUGACGCAGCAACGCCGCGUGAAGGAAGAAGGUCUUCGGAUUGUAAACUUCUUUUGUCAGGGACGAAGAAAGUGACGGUACCUGACGAAUAAGCUCCGGCUAACUACGUGCCAGCAGCCGCGGUAAUACGUAGGGAGCGAGCGUUGUCCGGAUUUACUGGGUGUAAAGGGUGCGUAGGCGGCCGAGCAAGUCAGUUGUGAAAACUAUGGGCUUAACCCAUAACGUGCAAUUGAAACUGUCCGGCUU
rnacentral:rRNA from 1 species